UACGGGGGGGCAAGCGCUUUUCGGAAUUACUGGGCGUAAAGGGCUCGUAGGCGGCCAACUAAGUCGGACGUGAAAUCCCUCGGCUCAACCGGGGAACUGCGUCCGAUACUGGAUGGCUUGAGUUCGGGAGAGGGAUGCGGAAUUCCAGGUGUAGCGGUGAAAUGCGUAGAUAUCUGGAGGAACACCGGUGGCGAAGGCGGCAUCCUGGACCGAUACUGACGCUGAGGAGCGGAAGCCAGGGGAGCAAACGGG
rnacentral:rRNA from 1 species